rnacentral:misc_RNA from 1 species
UUUCCGUAGGUGAACCUGCGGAAGGAUCAUUAUUGAAUGAAUCACUUCUGGCUUUAUGCUGUUGUGCUGGCCCUUUGGGCAAUGUGCACACGGCUCUGGUCACUUGUUUCUUCUGUUCCACCUGUGCACUGCCUGUAGACACGCUGUGUCUAUGAUAUUUGUUAACACACAACAAUGUUAGUUGGCAUGUUAUAUAUAAUAAUAAAAUAUACAACUUUCAACAACGGAUCUCUUGGCUCUC